AUGGAGUCACGUGCCCGCAUCGCACUGAGCCAUGUUCGCACUUUUCGGUUUAGGCUGAUCUUCCAUCCCUGGGGCCGCGAGGCCGGCUCCGAGCCCGUUAAGGCACUCUUCCUCGUGUCCCUCGAGCUCUACGGCAUCCCCGAUCAUGCUUGGCACCGUGCGGCCGCCGGGACCCUGCUUGCCCCCUUCUGCAAGGUCGAGCACCUCGCCCCCGAGACCCGCAACCUCGCCGACAUGUCCGUCUUCCGUUUGAGUGCAUGGACCAUCAACCCGGACGCGAUCUCGCGCUCCUCCGAGCUCCUCCUGCCGGGCGACGACGCCGUGGAGCAUGACGCCGACCCGGACCGCGCCAAGCGCCUCGCGCGCUUUCCUGUCCGGAUUCACGUGGCCUCCUGGGUCAACUACCGCCGGCCACCCCCGCCCCCGUCCGUCUGCUUCCACGCUUUUCCCUCCGCUGACCGAGUCUCCGCGCGGCUCCGAUUGGGCGCCCUUCCUCUGCUGACCGAUGUUGGGCCACGUGACGCACCGGAUGCACCAUCCCCCGCGCUGGAGGCCAGCCCAUCCGACCUUGUGCAGACCCCGGGGUCACAUGUGUCUCGGGAUGCGUGCAUUUCAAACCGGCCAAUCGGCACCGCGCCUUCCUCUCCAAGCCCCGUUGGGCCAUCCCAGGCGAUCCUGAUCAGCCAACCAGGAGUCGACACCACCCCUCCUCAUGAUGAUGGGCCUGUGUCGCGCCUGCCGCUGGGAGACAUUGGGGGGCCCAUCCGGGUCGUACCACCUUCUUUCAAGGCAUCUCGAGGCCUAUCUGCUGAUGUGACUGACGCGGGAGAUUCGUCUGCAGCCAAUCUCAUGUCUCCCCACCCCCUGUCCCCACGCAGCCCAGACCCCGAGCCGACCAAGGACCCACCCCGCUUGGCCGCUGCCUCUCAUGACGCGCCCUCGAAUUGCUUGGACCGCGCCGAUCCCGAGCCUAUGGCAGGCCCGUCCUGCUUGGACGUGGUGCGGCAUGUUGCACCCACCGGUCCGAUGGAUGACAGGUCGGCCCCAUCGCUCAUUCAACCCAUGCAAACCACAGACGUACCCGCGCCUGACGUGGCUCUCUCCUCUUUCGUUGAUGCCAUCUCUGCCAGGGCGUCCUCUCUGCUUCAGGCGCAGAAGCCUCGGCGACAUAGAAAGGAGCUACCAGCCAACUUCACCCCUCGCCGCAGUUUCCGCAUCGCACGCGCGGACCAAGGGCUCAACUCCGAAAUGAAAGCCAAGCGGGUGUUACUUCGCCGUGUCGGCCUCAUCUCAAGCGACGAUGCGCCAAUCUCCGACGAGGUGCUUUACAAAUACGCCCUCCUCUUCGAGCAGCCACUGGCGUUAGAUGUGCUGCAAGCAUUCGCUGAUUUCUUUGGGUGGCAACUCCCAAGCUCGCUGCCUCCUACCCUGGGGUAG
rnacentral:rRNA from 1 species